rnacentral:rRNA from 1 species
GCCCUUAGUUGCCAGCAUUAGUUGGGCACUCUAAGGGGACGUGCCGGUGAUAAGCCGAGAGGAAGGUGGGGAGUGACGUCAAGUCCUCAUGGCCCUUACGGGCUGGGCUACACACGUGCUACAAUGGUGGUGACAGUGGGCAGCGAGCACGCGAGUGUGAGCUAAUCUCCAAAAGCCAUCUCAGUUCGGAUUGCACUCUGCAACUCGAGUGCAUGAAGUUGGAAUCGCUAGUAAUCGCGGAUCAGCAUGCCGCGGUGAAUACGUUCCCGGGCCUU